GCCCAGGUGGCGGAAUCGGUAGACGCGCUGGUCUCAAACACCAGUGACCUCAACAGUCGUGCGGGUUCGAGUCCCGCCCUGGGCA
rnacentral:tRNA from 1 species